UACGGAAGGGGGCUAGCGUUACUCGGAAUUACUGGGCGUAAAGGGCGCGUAGGCGGCGUUCCAAGUUAGGCGUGAAAGUCCUGGGCUCAACCUGGGAACUGCGCUUAAGACUGGAAUGCUAGAGGAUGGAAGAGGGUUGUGGAAUUCCCAGUGUAGAGGUGAAAUUCGUAGAUAUUGGGAAGAACACCGGUGGCGAAGGCGGGCAACCUGGUCCAUUUCUGACGCUGAGGCGCGAUAGCGUGGGGAGCAAACGAGGAUUAGAGUA
rnacentral:rRNA from 1 species